GCACGAGUGGCUCAGUGGUGGAGCGUCGCCUUGCCAAGGCGAAGGCCGCGGGUCCGAAUCCCGUCUCGUGCU
rnacentral:tRNA from 1 species